rnacentral:rRNA from 1 species
CAAUAGCGUAUAUUAAAGUUGUUGCAGUUAAAAAGCUCGUAGUUGGAUUUCUGGUCGGAAGCUCCUGUCCUCUGAUGAGCGUACAAGUGCGUCCUACCAUCCUUCUGUUAACCUUUAAGGCUUUCGCGGCUUUCUAGGGGCUCAGAUAUUUUACCUUGAGAAAAUUAGAGUGUUUCAGGCAGGCUAGCGCCGGAAUACAUUAGCAUGGAAUAAUGGAAUAGGACUUUUGCCUCUUCUGUUGGUCAUGAGGCUCGAGUAAUGAUUAAUAGGGAUAGUUGGGGGCAUUAGUACUUAACGGUCAGAGGUGAAAUUCUCGGAUUUGUUAAAGACUAACUUAUGCGAAAGCAUUUGCCAAGGAUGUUUUCAUUA